ACGUGUGUUAAUGACGUCUGGAAGAAGAAAACGUGUUUUCGGUCUCGCGAAUCGUUUUAUUUAUGUAAAAAUAGUCAAAUAAGUGCCAUGAGAGAAACUAAGGCACCGGUGGCUACUAAGCCGGCUAAAGGUUUUUUGGCUUUGAAUCUGAAAGAGGAGCCUGAAUUCAAGACGAAAGUCCAGGAGAUGAAGAAGCGACCCAAAAAGGGACAACAAACAAGUCCAAGAGUGAUUUAUGUUGGCCAUCUUCCCACUGGGUUGUUUGAGCCUCAGCUCAAAUCCUACAUUGAACAGUUUGGAAAUGUCGUCAGGUUACAACUGGCCAGGAGUAAAACGGAAAAAAAAACUUGGGAUCCAUUAUCUUGAAAAUGUAAGAGUGGAAUGUGUUGUGUGAUGCACAGGUGUGAAGAAUGGCACCGUCUGAAAAUGACCUCAGAUGUAACAGUUGUCUGUGGUGAGAUAACUGUGCCGACAGUAUUGUGGUACGUUAAGCUUAUUGCCUGCUUUGUAUAGCAGUGUGAUUAAACCCAUGUCCCAACAUUACAGCCCUUGACUCAUGGAAACAGCCAUGCACCAAUCAGAUUUAGAUACCAUUGUUAGAGUUCAUAUUGGGAGGUGAUACAGGCUAAAUGAUUUGACCUUAUACCACAGUGUUGUUGAAUACUCGUUUCUGAUUGGCUAGAAGGGCAUUUUACCCAGAUAUUGGGACAGUUGGAUGUCCUGAUUACUGAAAGACCAAUGGAUUUUUUUAAAGGCUGGUGAUGAUUUUUGGGGAUCAAAGAGGCCGAUGGCCAAUAUAUAUCACAAUCAUUAAAUUGGAAAAAUUGACCAAAUUUCCCAGACAGCCAUGUAUGCAUUAUUGCAUCUGUUUUAAAAUCAAAGAAAUGUGACUUAGAUUAGUAAAAAACAAACUACAUAACAUAAUGGUAAUCAUUUUAUUUGAAUGGUAAAUCUCUGAAUAAACUGGGUAAAUUAAGAUGGCAUAGGCCUACUCACAAUACAGGUGAAUGCAUAUUCAAUAGGCUGAUCAAUGGCUGAUCAGUAAAAUAUAUAUUUUUAAAUUGGAAGAAGCCUUUGACUGCAUUCUGAAGUGCCACAGUACACAGCGGUUAUUGGUUAGGGAGCACAAAAGGGUUUACAUCAGCAAGAGCAGUACAGGCCGUGCUCAUGAUUGAGAACACCUAUCCAUUGCAGUGUGUAAUGAAGUGUAGCCUAGUUUUAUAUACGUCAUUCCAGCAGCACAAAAACUAGAAGGAAGUACAUUUUCUUAGAAAUAUGACUUUGCCAUACCCUAGGCCUAUAGUUUAGGCUAUGGAUAAUUUUGAGACCACACUCUGCGCACUUGGUAUAGUGUGCCCAGCAGGGAAUCAGUGUUGAGGGGCACACAUGGACAUCACAAAUGAUCAAACCCUGAGCAAUAUGACAUUUCAUCGAUUACAAAUUACAUGACCCUCCCUUGGACUAAAAAAAGACUAAACCCUCCCCCUGACUGAAAUUGAAAAAAGCAGGACCCUCCCCCAUUUUCCUCCGGGUAACAAUCAUGUACAUUUUGACCACUCCCUUAUCUGAAGAAAUAAUCCACCUUUUCAUUUAUUUAAUUCUAGAAUCAUAUGUUCAGGUUUAACAUUUCCCCUAGCUCUUGAUGUCUUGUAGUGUGUGCGCAUGUUGUGGGAGGAGAGCAGCAGACCCAUUUCAGCUUCACCAGAACUGGGAUAAUAAAGUUCUAUUGCAUUCUCCAGGUAAUCAGGUUCCUACUGAGGUGCAUGAGGAGUUGUUUGUGGGAUCACAGAGAGCUUUUAAGAAGCUGUAGCUCGCUACAACGAGACACACACCAUCGGAGGUCAAGGAGAUGACCGGACGACUCCUACAUAAAGAGGCCAAGCUCCGUAAAAGGCUGGCAGAGAAGGGAAUCCACUACGACUUCCCAGGGUUUGCUUCUCAAGUGCAACAGAAGAAAAAGUUAGAUGACACUGUGAAUGCAUCCACGUGUAAUGAGACGUGACUCCAGUGUGAACCACCUCAGUUCUGGACAGGAGGAGGUCCAUGAAGAUCAACGAUGAGGAUGGCGAAAUCAUCAAGAAUACCCCCGCCCAAAAAAAGUCUAAAGGCAAAUGUAAAGAGAAAGGGGGAUACCUAGUCAGACUGUACAACUGAACGCAUUCAACUGAAUGCCUUCCGCAUUUAACCCCAACCCCUCUGAAUCAGAGAGGUGCGGGGUGCUGCCUUAAUCGACAUCUUUGGCACCUGGGGAACAGCGGGUUAACUGCCUUGCUCUGGCAGAAUGACAGAUUUUUACCUUGUCUGCUCGGGAAUACGAUCGAGCAACCUAAGGAGCAGAGUCUGACUAAGAUUCCUCCUCUGAGGAAGAGGAGACUGAGGAGGAGUCCUUCCUAGAAGGGAGUGAGAAGCCAACAAUGUGUGAAGAGCCCUCAGGGGACAAGAGCCAGUCGUAUAGGAAGGAGCAUAGUGAAUGAACGUCAACGCCUGUUGUUUAAGGGACAAUGACUCAAUUGAAUUGCCUUGCUUGUAAAAAUGUAUCUGCUUUACAAGGUGGUUGGUCCUCUAUAUAAUUGCACAGAGGAGAAUGACUAGAGAGUCAAUGACUGUUUGACAGUGUUAGAGCCUAUGCACCUGUAUAGCACCUCCUAAAGUCCCAUAGCCAAGGCCUAAAAUUAACACCUGACAAAUGUGGGUAGAUUUUGGUAUUUGCUGGUAAGAUGUUGAUUUCACCAGCCCAGUUGGGGGUGGUCAGGGCUCCACAGUGCAAGCAUUUCACUCGCAUUUGUGAAUAAAAAUAGUAGAAGUAUGAUGACAUUUAUAUAAAAUAAAUGCUGGAUUAGCUGUUUUCAAAUUA